rnacentral:rRNA from 1 species
ACCUCGACUUCGGAAGGGGUGUAUUUAUUAGAUAAAAAACCAAUGCCCUUCGGGGCUCCUUGGUGAUUCAUAAUAACUUAACGAAUCGCAUGGCCUUGUGCCGGCGAUGGUUCAUUCAAAUUUCUGCCCUAUCAACUUUCGAUGGUUAGGUAGUGGCUAACCAUGGUUUCAACGGGUAACGGGGAAUUAGGGUUCUAUUCCGGAGAGGGAGCCUGAGAAACGGCUGCCACAUCCAAGGAAGGCAGCAGGCGCGCAAAUUACCCAAUCCCGACACGGGGAGGUAGUGACAAUAAAUACUGAUACAGGGCUCUUUUGGGUCUUGUAAUUGGAAUGAGUACAAUUUAAAUCCCUUAACGAGGAACAAUUGGAGGGCAAGUCUGGUGCCAGCAGCCGCGGUAAUUCCAGCUCCAAUAGCGUAUAUUAAAGUUGUUGCAGUUAAAAAGCUCGUAGUUGAACCUUGGGCCUGGUUGGUCGGUCCGCCUCACCGCGUGCACUGAUCCGACCGGGUCUUUCCUCCUGGGGAGCCGCAUGCCCUUCACUGGGUGUGUCGGGGAACCAGGACUUUUACUUUGAAAAAAUUAGAGUGUUCAAAGCAGGCCUAUGCUCGAAUACAUUAGCAUGGAAUAAUAGAAUAGGACGUGUGGUUCUAUUUUGUUGGUUUCUAGGACCGCCGUAAUGAUUAAUAGGGAUAGUCGGGGGCAUCAGUAUUCAAUUGUCAGAGGUGAAAUUCUUGGAUUAAUUGAAGACUAACUACUGCGAAAGCAUUUGCCAAGGAUGUUUUCAUUAAUCAGUGAACGAAAGUUAGGGGAUCGAAGACGAUCAGAUACCGUCGUAGUCUUAACCAUAAACUAUGCCGACUAGGGAUCGGGCGAUGUUAUCUUUUUGACUCGCUCGGCACCUUACGAGAAAUCAAAGUCUUUGGGUC